UACGAGAGCCUCGAGCGUUAUCCGGAAUUAUUGGGCGUAAAGGGUGCGUAGGUUGUUCUGUUAGUCUUUCGUUAAAAACCGGGGCUUAACUUCGGAGGUGCGGAAGAAACGGCAGAACUUGAAAGUGCGAGAGGCGUACGGAACUCAUGGUGUAGGGGUGAAAUCCGUUGAUAUCAUGGGGAACACCAAAUGCGAAGGCAGUACGCUGGCGCAUAUUUGACACUGAAGCACGAAAGCGUGGGUAGCGAAUGGG
rnacentral:rRNA from 1 species